GCCGGCCUCUUCAUGAAAGCUGGCGCCACGAGAUGAGCCUGCGGCCCAUCAGCUAGUUGGUAGGGUAACGGCCUACCAAGGCAAAGACGGGUAGCUGGUCUGAGAGGAUGAUCAGCCACACUGGAACUGAGACACGGUCCAGACUCCUACGGGAGGCAGCAGUGGGGAAUCUUGCGCAAUGGGGGCAACCCUGACGCAGCCAUGCCGCGUGAAUGAUGAAGGCCUUAGGGUUGUAAAGUUCUUUUGCCCGUGACGAUGAUGACGGUAACGGGAGAAUAAGCUCCGGCUAACUUCGUGCCAGCAGCCGCGGUAAUACGAAGGGGGCUAGCGUUGUUCGGAUUACUGGGCGUAAAGCGCGCGCAGGCGGUUUGGUAAGUUAGGGGUGAAAUCCCCGGGCUCACCCGGGAAUGGCCUUUAAGACUGCCAGGCUAGAGGACGAGAGAGGUGAGUGGAAUUCCCAGUGUAGAGGUG
rnacentral:rRNA from 1 species